rnacentral:lncRNA from 1 species
CCGCCCCACAGUUACCUGGCAACAUCCAGGUGCCGGACUCUCGGUAAAAGGGGCUGCUUAUCUGUUCUUCACUCUUAGUCUCUUGUCUUCUUACCGUCUUCCCUCUCUGUCCCUUCUCUCCCCUCCCCCUCUCCACUCUCCAGAUAUUCAUGGACGGCCUCUACUACUCUCUUUUCUUUCUCCUCUCUCCCCUCCCCCUCUCUGUGUUGUUCUCUACCUCUACUCUCUCAACUCCCCUCCCCAUGCCCUAAGUAAACUCUGUUUCAUCCUGUACCCAUCCUAUGGUCGGUACCUCAGGGGGAAAGGACGCCUCAGCAUGGGCCCUUCAUCAUACAUGCCUCUACCAAACAGAUCCCUGGCUUCCUUUUCUUUUUCAUAAAACACAACAGUGUCCACUUUAUCUCUACCCCCACCUCUAGAGUUUACAACCCUGUUGUUCUUAUCUAGACUACAACAAUUCCCCCUGUGUACUCUUUUUUUUAAAAAAUAACCAAACAUACAUUUAUUCAAGUGUUGUCAUCUUGUGAAGAUGUAUUCUGAUGCCUAUGUUGCUUCCAUUAUCAAAGUGCACUUGUUCUGAACCUGUCUGGGCGUGGCCUUGGAAGUAGUCUGUGAGCUGUAUCAUGAGACCAUCACCUCAUGUUUGAAAUCAGGGUCACCUCUGUCCUGAUUACAGGGCCACCGCAGUGCACUGGGUCAUCAAACCUCUUGCUUAUUGUAUUGUUAUCCAUCUCCAUGUUUUCAUGAGUGGGACCUCCUGGACGUAGGGCUGAUUGGGUCCUACAGUCACUCAAGUUUGAGUUCUAAGACACUUUAUUGUUUGGAUGCUGGGGACAUUGAAGGCACCAAGGAGAUGGAAGUCAUCAACUGGGCAAAUGCUGAAGACACACGUGGAGGAGCAUGCACCCCUGAAGGUUACAGAGAACUUCAACAAGAGCCAUUUUGAUGCAUCAAUGUGGGCAAAGGCAAAAGGUUCAAGAGAGAACAAGAGAAAACUAGAGACCACAAGUGGAUAUAUGUGGAUCCUCCCAGGAGACCUACUAGGGAAAUGUGUUCCUCACAGAAGUUCUCUGUCAUGUCACGAUGCAGCCAAACUUGCCCUCUCAAGAAGCCAGAUGGGUGGAGCCAUCAGAUCCUGAACCUCUGGCUUCAAACUGUGAGCUAACUAAAGAUCUCUGUGCUGUAAAAUACCCAGCAUUGUCAUACAUUUUGUCAUAGCAGCACACAGUGGAAUAUACUGUAAUUUUAGCCAUACGUGCACUUUAGAGGGCAGGAAUCAUGAGUAUGACAACCAUGGGAAAUCCAGGGGCCUCAUUUUUCUUGGGAAGCCAAAAGGGUCAAAUUUAACAUUUUGUUAAAAAAAAAAAAAAACAAGAAGAGAGAGAAUACCAGUUUUAGCAAUGGGGAAAACUUUGCCUUCUCUCACUUGGGUAGCUCCCACUUCAGGGGCACUAUGUCUUAAGAGCAUAUCUUAUACUCCUUUCUAAUGCAUACCAUGCACAAAGGAACCUUUUCUUUCCCUCAGUGCCUGACUGUGCAGGGCUUCCAAAUGCCCUUUUCUCCCUAGGGAUUACUUAGGCCAAGCUCCUUGUAGGCACAUACAGUUUUGUCUUGUAUAAAUGUCCCUUAGGGUGCUUGGCACAUCCUGGAUGCUCAGUCAAUAUUUGCUGAGUUAGCACAGUGACCACAGUACAUCCCAUUUCUUAAAUAACCAGUGGCGGCUUAACACAUUUAAACCACCCCUGUUUGCGUGCUUUAUGAGAGCAAGUUGGAAAGACGACAGCACCUCUAGGUUUGUUUCUGGGUCAAGCGCUCCUCGGCUAUGAAUUGAUUCAGUGGUGGAGGAAAAAGAGAAACAAAUGGUGUAAGAUAACAUCAGGGAGGCUCUGUGGUUCUUUUUCUUGUCAUUGAGACGGAGUAACCCACAAAAACAACUCAGGGGUUGCUUGACUCAUGGUUUUCAGGGCUUACAAUCCACCAUGGCGGAGAAGCCUUGCCAGAGCUUACAGCUGUGUCUUGAUGGAUCAGAAAUCAUCGAGGAGAGAGGAAGCCCUCAAGGCUAUAAACCACAAGGCUGGCCCCAGAUACUUGUAUUGCUAGACCUGCUCCCUCCCUGACUAGCACCAACCGUGGAGACUAAAUGUUCAAACUCAUGGGGGGUGUGUUGGGGAGACAUUUCACACUCAUAAUGUAACAUUUAGUUGGGGGUUAGGGAGAAAGCUGAUGCUUCCGCUAUUCGUAGGGGCAAGAAAUGAGUGGAUAUUCAGAAGUGGACCAGCGUGGCUACAUCUGCAACUGUGACUGACCAAAGCCAUACAACACAGAACCAUGAGUGAUGGAGGCAGUGGCCGGUGCAGUAUGGUGGGAUGUGUGGCCAGCAGGGAUGAGGGGUAGGGAGUCCCAUUGCUGAGAUCUUUUCUCCCGUUUUCCCAUCCUUUGCCUAAGAAUUGGCUGACAAGUGUAUCAGCAAACGGAAAAGACUUAGCUCAGUGUUGUUAGCAGAAAAUACUAGUAACUUAACACUGCGAGAAUACCAUGCAAAGUGAGUUGGUAACACGGCUGCCGAAAAACCAACAUGGCGGAUCUUUACAUAAAUAUGUGUACACCUACAAAUGGAGGGGAUGCUAAGUAUAAAUAUUUUUCUUUUUAUAAAUAUGAUAGCGAUAUAAUUUUGUUAAUUAGAAAUUUCGUCGCAUUUAUUUGCCAUGGCAUAGAUUUGGAGGUCAGAGGACAACUUGUGGGAGUGGCUUCUCUUCCACAGUGUGGGACCUGGGGAUGAACUCAGGACAUCAGGCUUGACAGUGCCUUCACCUACUGAGCCAUCUUGGGGGCUCCUUGAUGUAUAAUCAGAAAUAAGAGGCGAUUACAGGAUGACUUAGGAGGCUGUGGUGGUUGAUAUGGAUUUUCAACUUGACAGGGUCUAGAAUCACCAAGAUUCAAAGUCUGGACGUCUGGGAAGGAGUUUCCACAUUAGGUUAACUGAGGCAGGAUCACCACCGUUGCUUGUACUGGGGUCCCCAGCUGCAAAAAGAAAAAAGAGAACGCCGAGGAUGAGAAUUCACUUUGCUCUGCUUCAUUGUGACCAUCCGCUUCGUCUCUAGCCACGAUGCUUUCUCCUCCACUGCCCUCUGACCAGAGACCCCGCUAGACCCUUCCUCCACCACACCCUCCGGGAACCCACUCCACUCUUCCUCCACUGCACCCUCUGACCCAGGACCGGACUAGACUUUGUCCACCACGCUCUCUGGCCGGGGACCCGACAGGACCCUUCCUCCCUCCGAUUGCAUUUGUCAGGCCUUUUGUCAGAGCCACAAGAAGACUGAUAGAUUCCAGCUACAUGGAGCACUAGGGCUCAUGAUAGGAGUCAUGCUUUCCUGGAGAAUGCCCUCCAAUCUCCUCCACCCACCUAUCCCUUUGUUCCUCACAAUGUUGUCGUCACUGUGACAAGGACAGGCUCCUCAGGUCCAGGAGGAAGUGGGUGUAAGAAACCUGGUGUCCCAUUGUCUCCGUGUACAGACAUCUUAGUGGAAGUGACGCCUGAAGUAGGUGUCUUAUCCUUGGGAGAAAGAAAAGUCUUGUGGAGUGGCUGUGAAAAGAGGUCUUUUGAAAGGAGAAUUUUUUUUCCCAUCUACCAUGGGCCUCUAUUUAACAGGAAAAAUAGCAGACAAGAUUCACACUCGUCUUGUAACAUUCGUUGUUGCGAGUGGAUGGGUGCGUUUGGGAACAUUUGGGAAAUUGAGAUGAGGCCCACAUAUUUGCCUAUCAUCUGUAGACAAUUCCUGCUUAAAAGAGGUGAGCAUUUUAUCUCUCUGCCAGCAUUUGGCAUUUUUUGGUAGAAGCGUUCAAUGUGGCACCUGCCCUGCUUUGAUUAACAGAGAUAUAAUCCAAAGGAAGCAGAAUCUCUCUCUGCUCAGUCUCACCCUGUACCUAAGGCCAGAGCCUUCCUUCAGGGGCAGCGCACUCUCUCCUGGAAUGAGGUACCUAGAAGCAAGCAGACCCCAAACACUGAUAAGGUUGUCAUGGAGAGUUACAUUCCAAUCUCAGCCUCUGCUAAGAUGGGUGGAUUCCAAGUGUAGCAGGCCUCAUGAAUUUCUGCAUACACUCUUUCCUUGGAGACGUCCUGAAAGAUGAGAUAAACGGCUGAGAAGCUGUGUGUGUAUAGGCUCUGUUGGGUUUCACUGAGAACAUGAGAGGUCUCCCCUCUCCUCCCUGCCCAAUGUUUAUAGGGACAGGUUCUCAUAUAACUAGAGCUGUAGCACAAAAGUUUUCAAAACGUACUCUUAAUAACAGUUCUUAAACACUUUAACCUCCCUUCUAGCCCACCACCCAUCAGAGGCAGUGGGAAAGAAAUGUUAAUAUGAUAUGGGGGAAUCGGACCUGUUUCGAAAGGUUCUUUGGAGUAAAUCCCAUCUGUGUUGUCAGGGAAUCAGCAGUUCAGUUCACAGGAGUCAGCAGCGGCAGCUCGAUCCACUCGCAAACACCUCACGGAUACACCAGCAGUCCAGUUCGGUAGAGACGGCAGUGGCAUGACCUAGUAGGGACAGCCAGGCCUCGGGCAAAUCGGCAGGAGCCAGCGGGAGGAAUUAGGACCACCGGGAUACCAGAGAAGUUCUUGGCUGUGCCUUUCUCAGGGACACGAAGAGACCGAGGAGACAAGAAGAGUUGUAAAGCUAGCUCUUUAGGAAAGCAAACCCUUCUUAUAGUCUGUUGAGUCCUACUUAUACCCCCUCCAAACAUCACGUGUCCUCCAUGGGUCUUGCCUCAGCAUAUGAGUCUGUCUUAGCAUCUGUCUCAGAUGACAACAUUCUGCCAUGAGUCUGAGGAAGUGUCAAGAAGCCGCCAGCACACCACCAGUUUUUUGGUGCGUUUCCCUCUGUGGAGUCACGACAAAUGGAGCUCAACAACGCAUGUAAGGUGAACCAAUAUAAGUGUGUCAUUAGCGAAGAACGCUUCAUCAAGUGUCCUUUUAUGUGUUCGCCUUAGCAAACCAUCCUUUUACCUGGGUCCGCUUCAGCGAAACAUUCCUUCAUGUGUUUGCCCCUGCAAAACAUCAUCCACUCAGCUGACACAACUGACUUUCCAAAGAACCCUUAAGUUUUCAUUUCAUUAGGCUGCUUUUGAACUUGUUUUGUAGCUGAGAGUCACCUUGAAAUUCUGAUCCUCCUGCCUCUAUUGCCUGAGUGCUGGGAUUAUGGGCAUACACCACCACACCCAGUUUUGGGUAGUGCUGGGGGCUGAACCUAGAGUUCGGCACGUUUGGCAGACACUCUACCAACUGAGCCAGCAAUUUCUUACGUUUGCUUCAGUAGGGAAAGACAGCGACAACAUGAGAGGCUAUGCUUGACCCUGGGAAUGAACUCUGCUCAGCUGUAGCAGUUCCCCCUUCUCUGCUCUGCCUUCAAUCUACCGUGUCAUUAUUAGAUUUUUUAAUAUUUGCUGUCUUCUCCCAUGGCUGGCCUCAGUUUGUGAUUCUCCUGCCUCAGCCUCCCGAAUGCUAGGACCAGAGGUGUGUGCCAUUCUACCUAGCUAAUACAUCAUAGAAACUGCACAAAGCACCAUAGAAAUAAUAUUUUGCCAUUUAUUUUCAUUUUUUGUUUCUGGGGCAUUGUUUCUCUUUGUAGUCCUGGCUGCCUUAGUUCUCACUGUGUAAAUCAGGCUGGCUUUGAACACGGGAAGAUGCACUUGCCGCUGCCUCCCGAGGGCGAGUAUUAAAGGUGUGUACAUCGUG